AAUGACCUCAGGCAUCACCAUGGUCAUUGUGGCCCCCUGAUUUUCAUCUACCUCUGGAGUACGAAGAGAGAAGAAAAUAUGAAUGAAAAAAGAAAGACCUGUGUUGCUGCUUCCUGUAAGACAUGACAAGGGAGACCACUGCAAAAGGAAAUACUACCUUUUCUUAAAUAGAAGAUGAAUGUCAGUGCUACACCAAGGAAUAACAAGAUGGCUCCCAGAAUUACCAAAAACCCUGGAAAGAAAGAAGCAGCUUGGAUGUCCUAGGAUUUGGAUUCCUGAAACAUGGCCUGAAUUGAGUAUUCCUCUCAGUUCCGUUUCCUUGGAGUACAGCUGUCAUUAGUGAGGGACAAAAAGGCAGAAUACAAAGAUCAUGUAAAUACACAUGGUCUUUAACCUCUAAACCUCACAUCAGGGCAAUUGGUCUAAGAGAAGAAGACUGACAUCUCCUUCUUCAGGUAAGAAUUAUGACCAUCGGUGAAUUCCCGUUUCCGAAUGGAGACAUUCAAAGGGCAAUGAAAUGUAAACUGGGGAAGAAGUGAUGGCUCAUUCAGGUUGGGGAAGUGGGUUUGUCCCUGGGGGAAGCCCAGUAUAAUACUCUGGAACUGAUACUACUUCUCAUCUUCCAAGGGUAGGAUGGGUAGGAGGAAGAGAUAGAGAAAAAGUUAAGAGGCCGGGUGCAGUGGCUCACAUCUGCAAUGCCAGCACUUUGGGAGGCCAAGGCAGGCGGAUCACAAGGUCAGGAGCUUGAGACC